rnacentral:rRNA from 1 species
UACGUAGGGCGCAAGCGUUUGUCCGGAAUUAUUGGGCGUAAAGAGCUCGUAGGCGGCUUGUCGCGUCGGUCCGUGAAAACCCGGGGCUCAACCCCGGGCUUGCGGUCGAUACGGGCAGGCUCGAGUUCGGGUAGGGGAGACGUGGAAUUCCUGGUGGUAGCGGUGAAAAUGCGCAGAUAUCAGGAGGAACACCGAUUGCGAAGGCAGCUCGCUGGGACG